UUGGAAAAUUGCAGAUAAUAUCAUAAUUUUGCUGAUUAUUUUGGAUAUUUAUAUCACGUUUUGGAAUCAAGCAGAAUUUCCGUCUUGUACGGGAUAAAAAUUCUACAUACUCUGAUAGAAAUUUCUAUAAAAGCCGCCCUCCAUCUUAGGCUUUCAAUUCUUUCAAUUCUUCUGAAUAUUUUACUGAUUCGAUAGAUAAGUGGAUCAACCUGAAUUAUUGGCGUGUUGGUUGAUGCAAAGACAUCCCUUGGACAUAGGCACCCCCAUUGCCUUAUACUGAGGGUUGGAAUAACUUCUAACCGGUUGGGAGCGAACCGAAUUCAACAUUUCCAUCAACUGGACUUCUCCCUCUGGAUGAGUACAACCCUUUUAUUUUCAUUAGAGAAAGUUACCAAAAUUAAUCAUUUAUUUUGAAUAUAUUGAAUAACCAUAUUGGACCAUAUAUAGACUCUGAAAUUUAACUAAAAUCCUACAGUUUAUUAUUUUAUUGUGAAUACCAUUAUCUGAAUACCAUUAUCUGUGAAAUUCUCUGUAAAUGAAAGCCGGCAUUCAUUCUUCUAAAUUAUUGUUCAUACUUAAGUGCACUCAAUUCAAAUUCAUUAAUUACAUUUCAUAUCAUAAA